rnacentral:rRNA from 1 species
CAGUAGCCGCGGUAAUGCAGAGGAUGCAAGCGUUAUCCGGAAUGAUUGGGCGUAAAGCGUCUGUAGGUGGCUUUUCAAGUCCGCCGUCAAAUCCCAGGGCUCAACCCUGGACAGGCGGUGGAAACUACCAAGCUGGAGUACGGUAGGGGCAGAGGGAAUUUCCGGUGGGGCGGUGAAAUGCGUAGAGAUGUGGAGGGACACCAGUGGCGAAGGCGACUCUCUGGUCUGUAACUGACGCUGAGGAGCUAAAGCGUGGGGAGCGAACAGGAUUAGAUACCCGAGUAGUCCCUGUCUCUUAUAC